GAUGAACGCUAGCGGCAGGCCUAAUACAUGCAAGUCGAACGGCAGCACGAGUAGCAAUACUUGGUGGCGAGUGGCGCACGGGUGCGUAACGCGUAUACAAUCUACCCCUGACUGGAGAAUAGCCCCGAGAAAUCGGGAUUAAUGUUCCAUAACAUCAUUGAGAGGCAUCUCUUGAUGAUCAAAGCUCCGGCGGUCAAGGAUGAGUAUGCGUGACAUUAGCUAGUUGGUGAGGUAACGGCUCACCAAGGCGACGAUGUCUAGGGGUUCUGAGAGGAUUAUCCCCCACACUGGUACUGAGACACGGACCAGACUCCUACGGGUGGCAG
rnacentral:rRNA from 1 species